UAAUACAUGCAAGUCGAGCGGAACUUAGAAAGCUUGCUUUCUAAGUUUAGCGGCGGACGGGUGAGUAACACGUGGGCAACCUGCCUAUAAGACUGGGAUAACUUCGGGAAACCGGAGCUAAUACCGGAUAAUAUAAAAGAUCACAUGGUCUUUUAUUGAAAGAUGGCUUCGGCUAUCACUUAUAGAUGGGCCCGCGGCGCAUUAGCUAGUUGGUGAGGUAAUGGCUCACCAAGGCGACGAUGCGUAGCCGACCUGAGAGGGUGAUCGGCCACACUGGGACUGAGACACGGCCCAGACUCCUACGGGAGGCAGCAGUAGGGAAUCUUCCGCAAUGGACGAAAGUCUGACGGAGCAACGCCGCGUGAGCGAUGAAGGCCUUCGGGUCGUAAAGCUCUGUUGUUAGGGAAGAACAAGUAUCGUUCGAAUAGGGCGGUACCUUGACGGUACCUAACCAGAAAGCCACGGCUAACUACGUG
rnacentral:rRNA from 1 species